rnacentral:rRNA from 1 species
AAGCUACGCGCAGAACCUUACCAACCCUUGACAUACUCGUCGUCGCUCCAGAGAUGGAGCUUUCAGUUCGGCUGGACGAGAUACAGGUGCUGCAUGGCUGUCGUCAGCUCGUGUCGUGAGAUGUUCGGUUAAGUCCGGCAACGAGCGCAACCCACAUCCCUAGUUGCCAGCAGUUCGGCUGGGCACUCUAUGGAAACUGCCCGUGAUAAGCGGGAGGAAGGUGUGGAUGACGUCAAGUCCUCAUGGCCCUUACGGGUUGGGCUACACACGUGCCACAAUGGCAGUGACAAUGGGUUAAUCCCAAAAAGCUGUCUCAGUUCGGAUUGGGGUCUGCAACUCGACCCCAUGAAGUCGGAAUCGCUAGUAAUCGCGUAACAGCAUGACGCGGUGAAUACGUUCCCGGGCCUUGUACACACCGCCCGUCACACCAUGGGAGUUGGUUCUACCCGACGACGCUGCGCUAACCUUCGGGAGGCAGGCGUCCAAGCUCCGGUUGAUGACUGGGGUGAAGUCGUAACAAGGUAGCCUA